rnacentral:rRNA from 1 species
UACGUAGGGGGCGAGCGUUGUCCGGAUUUAUUGGGCGUAAAGAGCUCGUAGGCGGCUUGGCAAGUCGGGUGUGAAACCUCCAGGCUCAACCUGGAGACGCCACUCGAUACUGCCAUGGCUAGAGUCCGGUAGGGGACCACGGAAUUCCUGGUGUAGCGGUGAAAUGCGCAGAUAUCAGGAGGAACACCGGUGGCGAAGGCGGUGGUCUGGGCCGGCACUGACGCUGAGGCGCGAAAGCGUGGGGAGCAAACGGG